ACCUGAGUGGCGAAAUUGGUAGACGCUGAGGACUUAAAAUCCUUUACUAUUAGUAGUGUGUGGGUUCAAGUCCCACCUUAGGUA
rnacentral:tRNA from 1 species